rnacentral:rRNA from 1 species
GAUGAACGCUAGCUACAGGCUUAACACAUGCAAGUCGAGGGGCAGCAUGGUCUUAGCUUGCUAAGGCCGAUGGCGACCGGCGCACGGGUGAGUAACACGUAUCCAACCUGCCGUCUACUCUUGGACAGCCUUCUGAAAGGAAGAUUAAUACAAGAUGGCAUCAUGAGUCCACAUGUUCACAUGAUUAAAGGUAUUCCGGUAGACGAUGGGGAUGCGUUCCAUUAGAUAGUAGGCGGGGUAACGGCCCACCUAGUCUUCGAUGGAUAGGGGUUCUGAGAGGAAGGUCCCCCACAUUGGAACUGAGACACGGUCCAAACUCCUACGGGAGGCAGCAGUGAGGAAUAUUGGUCAAUGGGCGAGAGCCUGAACCAGCCAAGUAGCGUGAAGGAUGACUGCCCUAUGGGUUGUAAACUUCUUUUAUAAAGGAAUAAAGUCGGGUAUGGAUACCCGUU